rnacentral:rRNA from 1 species
UACGUAGGGCCCAAGCGUUGUUCGGAUUUACUGGGCGUAAAGGGCGCGUAGGCGGCGUGGUAAGUCACUUGUGAAAUCUCUGAGCUUAACUCAGAACGGUCAAGUGAUACUGCUGUGCUAGAGUGCGGAAGGGGCAAUCGGAAUUCUUGGUGUAGCGGUGAAAUGCGUAGAUAUCAAGAGGAACACCAAUGGCGAAGGCAGCUCGCUGGGACGGUACUGACGCUGAGACGCGAAAGCGUGGGGAGCAAACAGG